rnacentral:rRNA from 1 species
UUAAGCGACUAAGCGUACACGGUGGAUGCCCUGGCAGUCAGAGGCGAUGAAGGACGUGCUAAUCUGCGAUAAGCGUCGGUAAGGUGAUAUGAACCGUUAUAACCGGCGAUUUCCGAAUGGGGAAACCCAGUGUGUUUCGACACACUAUCAUUAACUGAAUCCAUAGGUUAAUGAGGCGAACCGGGGGAACUGAAACAUCUAAGUACCCCGAGGAAAAGAAAUCAACCGAGAUUCCCCCAGUAGCGGCGAGCGAACGGGGAGCAGCCCAGAGCCUGAAUCAGUGUGUGUGUUAGUGGAAGCGUCUGGAAAGGCGCGCGAUACAGGGUGACAGCCCCGUACACAAAAAUGCACAUGCUGUGAGCUCGAUGAGUAGGGCGGGACACGUGGUAUCCUGUCUGAAUAUGGGGGGACCAUCCUCCAAGGCUAAAUACUCCUGACUGACCGAUAGUGAACCAGUACCGUGAGGGAAAGGCGAAAAGAACCCCGGCGAGGGGAGUGAAAAAGAACCUGAAACCGUGUACGUACAAGCAGUGGGAGCACGCUUAGGCGUGUGACUGCGUACCUUUUGUAUAAUGGGUCAGCGACUUAUAUUCUGUAGCAAGGUUAACCGAAUAGGGGAGCCGAAGGGAAACCGAGUCUUAACUGGGCGUUAAGUUGCAGGGUAUAGACCCGAAACCCGGUGAUCUAGCCAUGGGCAGGUUGAAGGUUGGGUAACACUAACUGGAGGACCGAACCGACUAAUGUUGAAAAAUUAGCGGAUGACUUGUGGCUGGGGGUGAAAGGCCAAUCAAACCGGGAGAUAGCUGGUUCUCCCCGAAAGCUAUUUAGGUAGCGCCUCGUGAAUUCAUCUCCGGGGGUAGAGCACUGUUUCGGCAAGGGGGUCAUCCCGACUUACCAACCCGAUGCAAACUGCGAAUACCGGAGAAUGUUAUCACGGGAGACACACGGCGGGUGCUAACGUCCGUCGUGAAGAGGGAAACAACCCAGACCGCCAGCUAAGGUCCCAAAGUCAUGGUUAAGUGGGAAACGAUGUGGGAAGGCCCAGACAGCCAGGAUGUUGGCUUAGAAGCAGCCAUCAUUUAAAGAAAGCGUAAUAGCUCACUGGUCGAGUCGGCCUGCGCGGAAGAUGUAACGGGGCUAAACCAUGCACCGAAGCUGCGGCAGCGACGCUGAUGCGUUGUUGGGUAGGGGAGCGUUCUGUAAGCCUGCGAAGGUGUGCUGUGAGGCAUGCUGGAGGUAUCAGAAGUGCGAAUGCUGACAUAAGUAACGAUAAAGCGGGUGAAAAGCCCGCUCGCCGGAAGACCAAGGGUUCCUGUCCAACGUUAAUCGGGGCAGGGUGAGUCGACCCCUAAGGCGAGGCCGAAAGGCGUAGUCGAUGGGAAACAGGUUAAUAUUCCUGUACUUGGUGUUACUGCGAAGGGGGGACGGAGAAGGCUAUGUUGGCCGGGCGACGGUUGUCCCGGUUUAAGCGUGUAGGCUGGUUUUCCAGGCAAAUCCGGAAAAUCAAGGCUGAGGCGUGAUGACGAGGCACUACGGUGCUGAAGCAACAAAUGCCCUGCUUCCAGGAAAAGCCUCUAAGCAUCAGGUAACAUCAAAUCGUACCCCAAACCGACACAGGUGGUCAGGUAGAGAAUACCAAGGCGCUUGAGAGAACUCGGGUGAAGGAACUAGGCAAAAUGGUGCCGUAACUUCGGGAGAAGGCACGCUGAUAUGUAGGUGAGGUCCCCUCGCGGAUGGAGCUGAAAUCAGUCGAAGAUACCAGCUGGCUGCAACUGUUUAUUAAAAACACAGCACUGUGCAAACACGAAAGUGGACGUAUACGGUGUGACGCCUGCCCGGUGCCGGAAGGUUAAUUGAUGGGGUUAGCGCAAGCGAAGCUCUUGAUCGAAGCCCCGGUAAACGGCGGCCGUAACUAUAACGGUCCUAAGGUAGCGAAAUUCCUUGUCGGGUAAGUUCCGACCUGCACGAAUGGCGUAAUGAUGGCCAGGCUGUCUCCACCCGAGACUCAGUGAAAUUGAACUCGCUGUGAAGAUGCAGUGUACCCGCGGCAAGACGGAAAGACCCCGUGAACCUUUACUAUAGCUUGACACUGAACAUUGAGCCUUGAUGUGUAGGAUAGGUGGGAGGCUUAGAAGUGUGGACGCCAGUCUGCAUGGAGCCGACCUUGAAAUACCACCCUUUAAUGUUUGAUGUUCUAACGUUGACCCGUAAUCCGGGUUGCGGACAGUGUCUGGUGGGUAGUUUGACUGGGGCGGUCUCCUCCUAAAGAGUAACGGAGGAGCACGAGGUUGGCUAAUCCUGGUCGGACAUCAGGAGGUUAGUGCAAUGGCAUAAGCCAGCUUGACUGCGAGCGUGACGGCGCGAGCAGGUGCGAAAGCAGGUCAUAGUGAUCCGGUGGUUCUGAAUGGAAGGGCCAUCGCUCAACGGAUAAAAGGUACUCCGGGGAUAACAGGCUGAUACCGGCCCAAGAGUUCAUAUCGACGGCGGUGUUUGGCACCUCGAUGUCGGCUCAUCACAUCCUGGGGCUGAAGUAGGUCCCAAGGGUAUGGCUGUUCGCCAUUUAAAGUGGUACGCGAGCUGGGUUUAGAACGUCGUGAGACAGUUCGGUCCCUAUCUGCCGUGGGCGCUGGAGAACUGAGGGGGGCUGCUCCUAGUACGAGAGGACCGGAGUGGACGCAUCACUGGUGUUCGGGUUGUCAUGCCAAUGGCACUGCCCGGUAGCUAAAUGCGGAAGAGAUAAGUGCUGAAAGCAUCUAAGCACGAAACUUGCCCCGAGAUGAGUUCUCCCUGACCCUUUAAGGGUCCUGAAGGAACGUUGAAGACGACGACGUUGAUAGGCCGGGUGUGUAAGCGCAGCGAUGCGUUGAGCUAACCGGUACUAAUGAACCGUGAGGCUUAACCUU